GGGGAGGCUUGAACAUCCUGCAUAGUGCUGCCAGGAAACCCCCUACUCUCAUAAUAAGAGAGCGGCAGGCUGGUUGCAUAUGUAGGAUGUCCCAUCUCCCCACCCACUUCGCCA
rnacentral:pre_miRNA from 1 species